rnacentral:rRNA from 3 species
ACCCGCUGAACUUAAGCAUAUCAUUAAGCGG